rnacentral:lncRNA from 1 species
AGAAGGUCGUUUGCAAAUAGAUGCGAGGGUUGAGUUUGCUUCUUAUCGAAGGAAUCCUCGAUUGGUUAUACUUGCUGAUGUUUAAUAUAUGGACUUAAUUAUUCUACACGCAUUUAGAUAUUGGGAGAGAAUACUUAAAUAGUAUUUUGAGAUGUUUGUUGAGUGAUUUAAAUUUAUCAGUUAUGCAGUUUAUAUAGCAGGGAGGUAGCCUGUAUUAUUUGCUUAUUUUUAAUAUAGUUUGUAUUUAUUGUACGGAUAUAUCUGUGAAAUUACCGAAGGAUUUAAACAUUAAAUUGAUUAAUAGCUUUUCUAUUAUACUUUGCAGUUAUCAUAAUGACUAUUUGUUUUGUGACCUGCUACAAUUUAAUCCUGAAGUAUUGAGGUGUUUGUUUGUGUGUUACUGGAAGGUGUACACUAAAACGAGAGGUAAAAGAGCAGGUCGAUAUUCGAAGACAAUGUCACGAUCAACACGUCAAAAACCCAAGGACCUCCGCAACACAGUCCAGAUGGUACAGCCACACCGCAACGCCACCCAGCCGUUUCAGCCCCGCAACCUGUGAAUCUGAACCCGCAACAACUUGUGGUUGUGGAGACCCUUGUUGUAGAACACCAUUGCUCCGUGUUUGCGCAGCGAAGGUGCAUUUUGGCUGAUGAUUCGCUGUACUGUCACACAGUGUUGAACAAAAUGGUGAGUUUGCUCCGAUAUAGAGCAUUUAUAACGACUUGGGAGACCACGUUUCAGCAAAUGUUAAAAUCACGAUGGUUAAUGGCGAAUUCAUAGAGUAAACAGUAUUGUUACGCUCAGAUCACAUUAAUAACAGUCAAGGUCAGAGUGUUCUUGUUACUGAAGCAGACUGAUAUCUAAAAUUUCAGUCAAAGGCUCCGGCCAAAAAGAUUCAUUGCCGGUCCUUAAUGUACAUGAGUAUCUAUAUAUACCGUGCCCAAGAAAAUUUUAUGACUUUAGUUUUCAAGGUAUUUGUACCACAUUUGCUUGAGUAUACGAACAUAGCUGUACGCGUUGUCAUGGGAAGCACUCUAGGAAGUAUUUUGUUUUCAGAAUCACGUAGCUACCAAUCAAUAUCGUUCUAGGUACUCGUCACUUGGACCUCGUGGAAACUUCAGAUAGCCAAAACCGGCAUCUCAAAGAGGGUCACUUAAACCUUCAUUCCCUCACCAAAACCCUUAUUGACUUAGCAGUAUUACAAGUCUAUCUUUCUUUAUAUCCGAAUAAAUAAGUGGCAGCUGAAGUUUUAGAGGGUUCUAACAAAGGAUUUCGAUUACAAAACCAGCGCCCUAGAGUCCAAACUUCAUGUCAAACUUUAAUUUCCGUUAGGCAAAACUCUGCUGUAGCUAAUGAGAAAGUUAUGUAGGAAGAGCAGUUAAGCAGAAUUGCGGUUCAUUUUAAAGAAAUGUCUGUUCCAAAUUUCAGGCAAUCCGCGAUCAGUCUUGUGGCCCAAAAGAUGGUAGCUCGAGGAUUAUACACCAUCUUUCCUUCCCGCAGGGUUCAAGUUUGUAUGAUUUUAUUGAUACGUCUUCUUCCUCAGUUCAGUACACUUCUUUAGACAGAGUGACGGAGCUAUUGUUUCAUUAGUGCAAUAUUGCGAAAUGGCUAAAGUUGGCAUCAAAUCUGCCUUUCGCCUUUUGAGGUUCAUAAUUAUGAUUUUAAAAUUAUUAGCCUUCAAAUUAGGAGGGGAUUAUUUUACGGACAAGGCGUUACCUAUGACAGAUAGGUAUGAUAUGGUUAUCAUUUGUUUUAAUGGUUUUAAUGGUUACUGCAGCUUCCACGACUUACACUGAUUGGAUAGUUCUGUCCUAACCUUCUUUACGGAUAGCGCUGGCGUACAUGAACUAGGACGUGCAGCUUUUUCGAAGCAGUUUGUUUUUUUCUACAUUUGGCCUUCUAGUGGGCAGACGUUCGUAUAUGCAAUAACGUAAUCUUUUUAUAUUUUAAUAUUAUAUAAUAAUACUAAUAUUAUAUAUUUAGUGCCGAUCGUGUCAGCUUUACUUGCAUGCACAGACGACUUGCACCUUACUCCACUUUUAGCCCAUCUUUUAAUCAAGAAUGUAGCUCGUCACACAACAUGUCUGUAUAUCUCGGACAUUUCUUCUAUUGUAAAAUUAAUAGUUUUGAACAUCUUACUUAAAGAUUUAUGUUACGUUGAAUGCUUAUCAGUUUUGAUAGGUUGCAUCGGACAAUUGACAUCAGGCAACCUAUAACGCUUGAUUUACUUCGUAAACUUAUACAGGUGACAAAUACUGUUUGCUCUUCUAUAUUUGAGGCAUUACAGUUUUCAGCAGUAUCUUCCCUGACCAUUUUUGAUUUUUAAGGAUAUGUGAGCUUGUACACACGAACUCAAACUCCUCGAAUAUAAGUGCUAAAGGUCACGCAUUACUGUGAGGGAGACGUUAGUAUUGUAAGUAUCGGUGUACUUCGCAAAAUUCUUCAUUCAUCAAAAAACGAUCAGAAAAGGCGAAGGAGUAGCUAUUCAUUUACAACCUUGCACAUUGUUCUACUUGACCCCUGGAUUUAAUAGAGAGAUAUAUGGUUGUUCGACCAUCUAGUGCUUCAAACUAGUGCCAUUCCAUAUAAACCACAUUCAUGCAGAGUAGGUGCUGCAACAGCAGCAUGCCUGCUUACGAUAUUACAAGAAUGGGGCGUUGCGCCCCGGAUUUAAGUGCAUUUAAAUCUUACAUUAGAAUCAUCUCACGUCAGCUGUUGUCACUCCGAUCUUAAGCCUAUAAGCAGUUCCAUUGUACCUGCCAUCUGUUUGCCCGUUUUUGUUGACAAUUGUUUUCAGCUUUUCAGUGCGUCCUACCCAUAUUUGGAUAGUUGGAUGUUCAAUUAUAAAGUCGGUAUUUCGUUCCGACAAGAAAUCAGCUGAGGGUUUUCAACUUGUAAUGCAGCGUCAUAAUGCGACUAUACUGUGUCAGAGUCAGGGUGGUAUGAAAUGGCGGCAAGUUAAACCAUUAAUCUUACACUUGUUUCCUUUUGAAGACAAACAAGGUAUCAUUGUUAUUCACUAAGUAAUUAACUUACUUUUCAUUAGAGAGAGCUAGAAAACGCGUUAAUAAUUUCGCUGUUCAUUCUUUUUUUUUUUUUAAAAUACAUUGGUGGAUACGUUCGUUAACCAGAAAUCGUCGAAUCCGUGACGGGUCUCUUCAACAGGGAUGGGGUGCACUUGUCAUAACUUGGUAAUAUUUUGUUUUUACGCGCACUGAACACCAAACCCUCCUCAGCGUUUGGAAACAAAAAUUCCUAUUCUGAUGUUCGUAAUUUGAUCAAACUUCAAUUUGAAAGAUAGCCUUGAUGAACUGAUAGUAUCGAAUAUUCGGUAACACUUAUACGAAAAUGUAAAUUAUAUUGAUAUUUUUUCAUAUUUCAGUUAGAUUAAUCUGUAAGAUUUGGAUUCAUGUGUCUAACAAUUAUACUAGUAAGUUUUCUAUUUCAUACUUGAAUACAGGACUGCUGAAUUAAAAGCAUUUUAAUAUGAAGAGAUAAAACGUUUUUAAUGAACAUUUUACUUGUCUACAAAAAUCUUAGCGAGAAUAUUAUACUGACCGCGAGACUGGAUAUUCUGGAAACUCUUGCAGAUCAUUUAACCAAAAAAAUAAAACAUUUAGUGGCAAAUAUAUCGUUCAGAACUUGUUAAGUCACAAAGUUUUAAGAGAUGUUUGAAAUAAAAUAUAAAAAUAAUAUUAGCAACGCCACUCAUUAUGUCGCUUUCAUAUAUUUAAUCAAAACUGUACAAAAGAAUUAUUGUGCAUCUAACAAUAUAAGAAAAACACGGGGAAUCGCGUAAUGGCGGACAGGUUAUAGAACACUAAUUUAGCAUUAUAACGGCGAACAGGUUAUGGGACUCUAUCUUUUUCACAAUAAAUGGCUACGAAUGUUUAUGUUAAAGCUAGCUUUGGUUUAAAUUGUGGAUGCAUUUUUGACAUUUUGGUAGAAAUAAAAUGGGAAAGUGUUAUUUAGAUCACAUCACUGCACUUUAUAUGCUUUUGAAGUAAACAUCUGUCGCAGGUAAAAUCUCUCUUGAAACAUAUCUUCCCUACUUAUGUCAAUACUUUAUGUCAGUUUGAAGACAAUCCUUCAAAAUGAGGUCACGAUUGGCCUGGCUACGUGUGUCGGCACUAUGAACACCAUGCAUUUUAUAUAGAACCUAUUGAAGGAGAUAGAUUUUAACGUAAUAUAACCAUUAAACGCCAAUGAAACACUUUAAAUAACUUGUAUAUCUAGUUUCUUUUCGCGACGAAAUGAGUACACUUUAAUGAUGUCACCCCUGCCAACACGUCAUUGCAUUCGUCAUAUUUUUCACAUCAGAUAUAACUCUCUGUAUCUGUUAACUGCAAGAGUCAAGUUAUAUAACUUUUAAUGCGUGCAAAUUUUAUUUCAGGUUGACACAAGAGAUUUUUCAAUUAACUCAAACUGGAAUUACAAAUCCGAGAGGACGAUUUAUUUUCACGAUAGAGAAUAUGCUUAUGUGAGAAGUUUGGUCAACAGAUGGUGACAGACAGCCCGGAUGAGCCAUUCGUUCUCAGUGACAUUCGUACCUCAACAGAAAGAAUCUUACAUUUAUUGAAAUCAGGAAACUGAAUAUUUCCAUGGGGUGCAUCAUUUGUAGCAUGCUUACAUAUUGAAAUCAAACACAUAAUGCAACAUGCGUCUUUUUAAAGCGCUAACUUUGAAUACAUUUUCGGACAUUAGAAGGGGUCUUCUUAGCAGACGGCAAAUCGAAAAGACUAUAGCCGUAAUCAACAUUCAUUAGAAUAACGAAAACAAUUACAAAAAGUAACAAAAGAAGUGGUACUAAACUGAUUUGUUGCGUAAACGGCGCAGAAUUAAAUGUGCGAAUUGUUAGUUUUUCAAUUAGAAACGAACAUCUAGAAAUGCAUAAUGUUAAUGAUUACUUACAUUUUCUGCUUAUUUCAUUUUGACAAAAAAUAAAAAUAACUCAUAAUCGUACGAAAAAAAAGCUGUUUUAAAAAGUAUUUAUGUUGAAUACAAUGUUAAUUUAA